AGAGAGAGAGAGAGAGAGAGAGAGACUCUCUUUUGGGCCUUUUCAUCCUACAUUUGAAGAAGGAAGAGAAAAAUCAAGCAUAUCCAAAAAAAAUCUACAAAUUCUCGAAGCUCAUUCUAGUUGAGUAAUGGAUUUGAAGAUGAUUUGUUGCAAGGCACAAUGGAAAGAUGUGGAGCUUAGCUGAUUGUAUUAUGAAUUAAAAGACGCGCUUGUUAGUUGUAAUUUUAAAAAUUACUUGAGAAACUUGUUGAAACUUGAUCUUGUGCUGGUAAACUAUUGCUGAGAUGACUUACCUAUGCAUAUUUACUUUGCAGUCUUGAGAUUUAUGCUGUGUUUGGUUGGAGGAUUUGGAGAAGGAUUUGGAAAGAGAAAUAGAAAAGGUAGGUGAAAUGUGAAUAAAAUAUAUCUAUAUUUCACCUAGUUUCACACACCUUUUCCCUUUCCCUUUCCAAAUCCCUCCUCAAAUCCCCCAACCAAACACAACAUUAAGAUCCUUGUGUUUCUGAUUUUGUGAAUUUGUUUGUAUCAUAAUAUUAUAUUCUUACUUCUUGUGUUGUGUAGAUAUUUGUUAUAUUUUUUUAAUUAACCUCCCCGAGUCCGUUGGAGA